rnacentral:lncRNA from 1 species
ACUGAAGAUGGUGUCUGAAAAAGAAACGAGCUGACAUCACCUUUUUGUCCUGCAGGGGAUCUGUGAAGAUGGGAGGAGAUGAAAUGCAGCAGGUACUUCACCACUCCCAUGAUCAUAUCUCUUACACAGAACAUGGCUACCAGGUUUAGUGUGACUUUUUGCAGCUUUGAUUUAUUAUCCACAAACAGUGGGUGCAAGAUGGCCACCAUGGAAGGGCUUUUGUGCCUGUCCACUGUAAUAAUCCCUUGCAGCUGUUUGUGGCGGCUGAGAAGCUGAUCUUUGCUGAGCUGGGGCUUACUAAAUGCAACCAGCAGAUUGGCUUGCCACAAUGUUGCUGCUGAAGCUGCAGGAAGAGGCAGGGCCCCAUAUUCCUCGCAGAAUUAAAAUGACACAGGCGUGGUGGCCAUAUCACAAAGCAUCAUCGUCUAAUAAAAAGGGGGCCCUGUCAGCAGCCAUGGUCACCUUCUCCUGCUGUAUCUUGGUCCCUGUUCAGUUUAAACUUGUGCCCGUGGGUAUGUACUGGCUAUGGCAAGGAGGACAGGCCCACAUGGAAGAAACUGCCUGCAGGGAAGAAUGGUCUGGCAAUGAAUUAUAGGGAGCAGCAGCUGUGCUCCAGGCACCCAUUUUCCUUUCCUCUUCUGCUUGGAAGUGAGAAGCUCUGUCAAGCUGAACGUUAAGUCUGUGCCUGUUCUGAAAUUAGUUGAGACUCUUUAAGAUACACUGUGCCAGUGUAUGUUCAGUUUGCCUGAACAUCUCAGAUUAUUGUGUGGAGCAAUUGUGGACAGUGGGAGCUCUCAGUGCUAACGUCUGUCUGACACAUACCUACCUUGGAAUUAACAGGAGGCAGGAAUUCCUAUGAUUUUACUGUGCCAUGUUUGUGUAGGUCUGGAGAAUCUUUUCCUGCCCCAGAUGCUUUGCAAAAGCAAAAUACUGUUGGCAUGGUGCUCUUUCACCUUUUUACCCUGGCCUGGAGCAGCUGAUGCGUGUUGUCAUCAGCAUGCAUUAUGUCCCAUGAAUGGCUUCACCCAGCAGUUCCCUAUGCCCUUGUCUCAGCACAGAGUGUGUAGGAGGACCAUGUGGUGCUCUCCAAUAGUCAUACUGAGCACUUUCUGGAACACUGUCUCAUUUAUUGGCUCCAUGCUUGCUUGUCUCAAGGUGCAGAUGCUGUCAUUCUUCUGCAUGGUCAACUGCUGCAAAAGAAGCGCAGGCACUCCUGAGACAUGUUUUCACCAAAGGAAUAUGGAGACUCGAGUAUCAGUCACUCAGCACCUCUGUCCUGGCAUGGAAACGUAAUGCAACUGAGGAGUCACGCUUCCAUGGCCAGUAUCUGGGAGACCUAAAGGAAUUUCACUGUCCAUUCACAGUGUCCCAGGCUUUGAAGGUAAGCAGGGUGACUCCCACUGAAUGGAUGGAGAUGUGCUUG